ACCGAGUUACCACUACUUUUCUA
rnacentral:snRNA from 1 species